GGUGAACGGACGCCCCCUGGAGAUG
rnacentral:piRNA from 1 species